rnacentral:rRNA from 1 species
UACGAAGGGGGCGAGCGUUGUUCGGAUUUACUGGGCGUAAAGCGCGCGCAGGCGGCCUCGCGCGCCCGACGUGAAAGCCCCCGGCUUAACCGGGGAGAGUCGUUGGGGACGGCGGGGCUUGAGGGCGGGAGAGGUCGGUGGAAUUCCCGGUGUAGUGGUGAAAUGCGUAGAGAUCGGGAGGAACACCUGUGGCGAAGGCGGCCGACUGGGCCGACCCUGACGCUGAGGCGCGAAGGCGUGGGGAGCGAACGGG